CUUCCUUUCGUGUUUUGAUAUCUUGUUGUUUUGCUACUCUCACUUCGGAGUUCGGAUGGUGUCUAGCAACGUUGGGUACCUCGUUUCUUGUGUGUGUGAUCGAGUGGUUGCUGUUUACGAUGUGUUCAUAUAUCGCUUUGUAGUGCUGUAAUGUGCAAAUUAGCGGACUUUAUAGCGGCUCUCUAUUUUCCGUCGUUGUCUUUCGAGCAGCGCCUGUUGUUCCGGUAAAAAUCGAGUUGAAUGAAUCGCCACAGCCCCAACGUAUAUCACGCAGUGUUGACCAAGACCAAGUCAAGCAGGAAUUCUGGCAUGGUAUGUGGCUGCACGAAGGAUUCCGGAAAAGAAAAACAACAACAUGGCUAAUAGGAUGUUGCUGCCCAGGGAGUCCUGGCGAAGAGGUUUACUCAUUCCAGAAGCAAGAAUUGUAUCAUUGUAAGGCGAAUGGAAAUAAACUGACAUCGACUGA